rnacentral:rRNA from 1 species
UACGUAGGGGGCAAGCGUUGUCCGGAUUUAUUGGGCGUAAAAGGCUUGUAGGUGGCCACGCCAAGUCGGAUGUGAAAUCUCCCGGCUCAACUGGGAGGGGUCAUUCGAUACUGGCGGGCUCGAGGCCGGUAGGGGGAAGUGGAAUUCCCGGGUGUAGUGGUGGAAUGCGUAGAUAUCGGGAGGAACACCAGUGGCGAAGGCGG